GUAGUUUGUGUGAUAAACAAUAUUGCCAAGCUAAACAAAAUCUGAAAAUCAACAAUCAUUUGAAAUAAUUGCGCUAUAAUCACAAUCAUCAUAGAUAUCGUGAUGUAAGAAUCUGGUAUUUAUAUUUAACUAAUGUGUAUUAAACCACUCAUACCCAUAAAGGAUUGGAACGCCUCUCUAAAACGCACGCAAAUGGAUGCAUAUAAUUAUUGGCAUGCGCAUGAAAAAUAUGUAAUGUGCUGCUGAAAUAUAACAAGAUGGCAGCGCUUCGUAUGCGAUAACGAAUAUGUAAAACAGUGAUAAGAAAAAGUUAGAAUUUUUAUUGAAGCCGGGCAUGAGUUUAGCGAAUUUAUUGAAUUUGAAGCGAAAUUGCUGAUGUUGUCUUGUUUCCAGAUUGAAUAGUUGUUACCAAGAACAGUUUGUAUUUUGGAAUUAAACCAACAUAAAAGUGAAAGUGUAAAUUAGAAUCAUCCGCCAAAUAAAGGUGUUUUAGUUUUCCGCGCCUCCAUAUAUUUACAGUUGAGUUGCGUCAGAAACCUUAAAAAGAAAUAAAAAACAAACAAACAAACAAAAUGAGUUUGCAAUCCAUUAAAUAUGCUCCGGGAAAAUUGGAUAUUUUAGAUCAGCUGUUGCUGCCAGUACAGUCGAAAUAUGUAGCCGUGAGAGGUGUCGAGGAUGGUUGGAAAGCCAUUAAUAAAAUGCAGGUUCGGGGCGCACCAGCCAUCGCCAUUGUGGGUUGUCUCUCCUUGGCUGUGGAAAUUUUACCCGAACAAUUUGAUUCCAAAAAGUCGCUGAGACAAGAGAUCGAGGGCAAACUGAAUUACCUGGUAUCGGCGCGUCCCACAGCUGUGAACAUGAAAAUUGCCGCCGAUGAGCUAAUCGCUCUAGCCAAUGAGCUGACGAAAGACGAAGCGAUUGAUGUACAAGAAAUGAAACAGAGAUUUUUGGCUGCCACCGAAGCGAUGCUACAGAAAGACAUUGCCGACAAUAAAGCGAUUGGCACAAAUGGCGCCGCUGCUAUUUUGGAUGUUAGCGGAAAAGAUACAUCUGUACGUGUGCUGACACAUUGCAAUACCGGCUCCUUAGCUACUGCGGGCUAUGGCACAGCAUUGGGUGUGGUGCGGAAGUUGCAUGAACUUAAAAAAUUAGAGCACGUCUACUGCACGGAGACACGUCCAUAUAAUCAAGGCGCACGCCUAACCGCCUACGAGCUGGUGCACGAUAAACUUCCGGCCACACUAGUCUUGGACAGCAUGGUGGCGGCGUUGAUGCGUGCCAAAAAUAUUGCAGCCGUCGUCGUUGGCGCUGAUCGGGUGGCUGCCAACGGGGAUACGGCCAACAAAAUUGGUACUUAUCAAAUUGCCGUUGUGGCCAAGCAUCACGGUGUGCCUUUCUUUGUCGCCGCGCCCCUGACAUCGAUUGAUUUGCAAAUACCGAGCGGCGAUCACAUUAUCAUCGAGGAGCGGCCGGAUCGCGAGAUGACACAUGUGGGCGAGCACAGAAUAGCAGCGCCAGGCAUCAACUGUUGGAAUCCAGCUUUCGAUGUCACACCAGCUGCGCUUAUUUCGGGUAUUAUAACGGAGCGUGGUGUCUUCAGUCCACAGCAUCUUAAGCAUGAGAUUAACGCCGUGUUGGGGGUGUGAAUUUUUUUGUAAUAAAAGUAUAUUAAAAUAAUAUAACUUAUAUAAAAUAUGGCCUUUGUUUAGUGAAGGUGCCUGCUUGUUACGCUUCCAUUAUGUGCGUACAUAAUACUUUUUUAAUUAUUAUUUUACUUGAUUUUAUAACAAAUACAAAAUUUGUAAAUGCUAUGCAAAUGUCAGUGAAUUUCUUAGCUUUAAGUUGUGAUAUGUAAACACAGAAUCCGCCUAAUUGUUGCUCCACAUCAAUAAAACGAAACAAAAAAGACGUAUAAUUUAUGGCAUUAAAAGCGAAAAAGAACUAUAAGUGAAAAAAUAUCUCAUAAUAAUUUCAGAGAUAUAGUUAUUGUUACCUUCUUUAAGUAAACUACUUUAUGCUUAUAGAGAUUCAGUUAAGGUGUUAGACCACUCUAUAACUCUAAUAAUUUUUGUGUUUAGCAAUUUAUUUAGGAAAAAAGGAAACGAAUUGCUUUUAUUAAGCUUUAUUAAACGUGUUUUUGAAUACUUAAAAAACAGUUUAUGUUGACACUUUGUAUCAAAAAUGGUGGCUAGAGGGUCAUUUUUGAAAUCACCAUGUCCUAGAACGCCUGGGCGGGCAACGGUUACUCUGUUCAUGCUAUUUAAAACAAAAAUUAUAAUAAUUCUAAAUAAUUUCAAUGACAACAAACGUGGAUUUCAAUGAUAACUAUGUGUUGUUGUGAAACUGUAGUUGAAAUUUAGGUGGCGAUGCUACACUACAGGACAUGGGAGCAUUUUGAUUUUCUACCAAUUGAGUAAUGUAUUUAUAACCCUAAACCGUACUUUAAACCUAAAAUAACCGCUUUCGAAAAUCCUAGAUUGGUCUAACCCUCUAAAUGAACAGGUUUUAUUGUAGCAGCACUUAGCUGUAUUAUUCUCGGAUUUAAAUGCGGAUCCACAGUACACUUAAGUUUAAAAUUAGUUAGUUUUAGUCAAUUUAAAGUAACAUAUUUUACAUAAUUCCCAAAAGACAGUUUCGGAAUGUUCAUUCUAGAGGAUGCAUUGGGAAUGAUAUAGCUGAGAGUGUAUCCCAGGAGGGAUCUCAAACCCGCAAUUAACUUCUUUACUGUUUAUGUUUUUGUUGUUCUAUUUACGGUAACUUCGGCUGCAACGAAGCUAUACUUAACUUAAACUAACAAACUACAAUAUAUGCACUAAGGUACUCGUAGUAAAGUUCAGAUAAAAUCGUUAUCCGAACCCUAGUAUACAAGUAGAACGGUAAUGGAUCAGAAAUCACUUUUUAUAUGUCAGCUUCUUUGCACGUUGUGAAGAUGUAUAGAGAGCCGCCUUUGAAUAUACACGGAAAUUCACACUGUUUUGUCAGCCAUUAAAAGCAUAGAUAAUAAAUACAUUUUUUUCUUUGGAUGUCAAUAAUGGUUUGUUCCACAUUCCAAACUGAUCCUGAACUAAAUGGUCAAGCGACACCUUACACAGCUAUGGUGGAGGUCUGAUUGCUUAGAACAAGCGGCUUGACUACAAUGUCUGACGACUGUUUCUUGGUUUCAAUUAGUGGUUCUGAUGAUCUCAAUUUUGUGCAAAAUGCUGUACGCUAAACACGUGUGAACAUUUUGAAUUAAUUGUUAUAUAUUAUAUUAGUCAGUCUUGAGCCGAAACUAUUAUGCUUUCAUUUAUAUUUAUUGUGAACAUAAGACUCCGCCUUAAAUUUAUUUUGCCACAAAACAACAAUGCUAUUAAGAAAAGGCCUUACAAAAGUCGCAUUGUAUGAACUUCGUCGCAGCGCACAAAACACCUUUAAGAUACGAGUCAUUGAACUUCCGUGACAGUUUGUAUUCGCCAGUUGUUAAGUACAGGUCACACAGUAAGCAAUGAAACAUCUUAACCCGUGUUCUCGAUUUAUAACGAUAGUAGUCAUUGUAUUACUUAUACGCACCAAUGUAGAUCCACAAGCGCUAUCGAGUAAGUUCCAAAAUAUGAAGGUCAGAAUAACGUCUAACAACCCCAUAAGAAAUCCGCGCGAGGGACGUGUGGAGGUGAGUUUUGAUCACGGCGCCAGAUGGGGUACACUUUGCAGUUCAGCUUGGAGUUUUCGUGAGGGCAAUGUGGUAUGUCGACAACUCGGUCUCGGUUACGCGGCCAUGAUUAAUCAAACAACUACCUUCGGUGACAGCAAAAAGUAUCCUUGGAGCAUGAUCGGCACACUCUGUCGUGGUAAUGAGCAUCGUCUUUCGAACUGUUUGCGUGAGGCUACCUACCCACGAAAUUGUACGGCCGGCAAUCUGAAUGUAGCCGUUGUACGUUGUGUGCCGCAGAGCGCCGAUUUGACUUUGGGUCUGCGUGAUAUUGAGACCUCAGCACGUCUCGAUUUGGCGCCGAUGACUCGUCUUCAAUGUGCUAUGGAGGAGAAUUGCGUCUCGGCCGACGCUUAUGUCAUACGACUCAAACAACCGAAUGCCAUACGUAAGCUAUUGCGGUUCACAACCAAGGCGGAAAAUGUGGGCGACGCGGAUUUCAGCCCGUACGCGAACUAUAAAGACUGGGAGUGGCAUCAGUGCCAUGAACACUAUCAUAGCAUGAAUGUAUUUGCGACUUUUGAUGUGUACGAUUUGCGUUACAAGAAAGUGGCACAGGGACACAAAGCUUCUUUCUGUCUGAUGGACACAAAUUGUGUGCCGGGAGUCAGACCCAAAUACACCUGCGGAAAUGAGACGCAAGGCAUUUCUAUUGGCUGCGCUGAUUUGUAUACCGCUGACUUGGAUUGCCAAUGGGUCGAUGUGACCGGCUUACCGAUAAAUCAAUAUUAUAUUCUUCGUGUCGCCAUCAAUCCAGAGUAUAAAAUUGGCGAACGCACGUUUGAAAAUAAUGGUGCUGAGUGUAUUAUACAUUAUACGGGAAAACCGGCGACAACACGAAUCACGAAUUGUGGACGAACGCCGUUGUGGUUCAACGUUUAAUAUUUUUCUAAAAUCAUUAAUGUGUGCUUUAAUAUUUUGAAUAAAAAAUUAAAACAUG